rnacentral:rRNA from 1 species
CAAUAGCGUAUAUUUAAGUUGCUGCAGUUAAAAAGCUCGUAGUUGGAUUUCGGGUGGGAAUGGCCGGUCCGCCGUUUCGGUGUGCACUUGCUACGCCCACCUUGCUGCCGGGGACGUGCUCUUGAGUUCACGCUCGGGACACGGAGUCGGCGAGGUUACUUUGAGUAAAUUAGAGUGUUCAAAGCAGGCCUACGCUCUGAAUACAUUAGCAUGGAAUAACACGAUAGGACUCUGGCCUAUCUUGUUGGUCUGUAGGACCGGAGUAAUGAUUAAGAGGGACAGUCGGGGGCAUUCGUAUUUCAGUGUCAGAGGUGAAAUUCUUGGAUUUAUGAAAGACGAACUACUGCGAAAGCAUUUGCCAAGGAUGUUUUCAUUAA